rnacentral:sRNA from 1 species
CACACACGGGGGAAGGCUUUGGCUUGUCCAUUUGCCGUUCCGGUGUCUGCUUCAGCCUCAGGCUGCUGCACCACGCUCCCCGUGGAGGUUCAACCGGAAAAAUAUGGAGUUCA